rnacentral:misc_RNA from 1 species
UUUCCGCGGCUCCUUUGGAGGGAUGCAUCUCAUGUCUGCGUGCCCACGCUGCUUGCCCUGCAGGUCGACCACGCGCUGAAUGGAGACACAGAGAAGAACAGCUACAAGACGUGCAUACUGCUGCUGUGCAAGGGACCCUCAACGAUCUCUCGAUGCAGAUACUACCUCUACUUGCCCUUGACAGUUCUAGUCGGGCUUGGUGGUGUCUAGUACACAGUAGUGUCUGUCUUUGGUGAGUAGAGUGGGCAACAGGGUGUGGCUGACCAGGGUGUCUCUUUUUCAGGGGGAUGGAGGGGGAGCACGACUUGUCCUCCUUGCUUUCUGCAAUCCCUUCACUUCGUCGUUAUUCCUUGUGCAUGAACCACGUGCAUGAAUGUGUGUGAGUUGGUUCAUCACCGCUGGCGCACGUUGCUGUCCUGACUUUUUUUCCUUUUUUCUCCGUGUGGGCUGCUAAACUCUCCGCUGACACAUGUGGCCACCUCGGCAGUCUGGGAAAGAGAGGCAAAAAAAGUGGGCUGGCCAGAGUUGGUCCUAGUAGUGAACUGGAACUGUCACUCUCGGCCUUGCCUCGCUUUCGGUUUUCUCUACGAGGGGUGCUUGCUCUCCUGUUGCUUGCUCUGCAAUCUUUUUUUCGUGUUGUGUUUUUGUUUGUGCCGUUUCUCCAAUCGUUGAUUGGAUCGAGUGGCGGAUGCCAUUCACGCCACUCUCUGCCCCUACACUCACCCACCCACCCCCUACUCCUGCUGGACAAGUGGGGCCCAUCAUAUUGUUUUCUUUGUUGUUUCGACUUUCUGUUGUGUUCAUCGAAAUGCACCAACACAAAUAUAGACAUAUAUAUGUUAUUCGCGUACACGAAUAUAUUCUCGCAUUGGAGUCCUGGCGUGCCCGGCUGACGGAGAGAAAAAAAUGGGACCUGGCUGGUACGUGUGGCAGCGGGGUGCACAAAAGGCUCCUGGCACUAUGUGUUGGCGAUUGUGGAGGAGCUGAGUGCUGUUUGUACAAACACUAUGCAAACGGAUGGCCGCCGCCUUCGCACCAGUCACAGGGGUGCACGGGUGAGAUCAGCUUCUACAGAGGGGGUGUUUGCCUGGCCCUUGGAUAGGUUUUGCUCGGUUUGCCGAUCCCUCUCUGGCCACAGAGUUAUCCAUUUAUGGCUUUCACGCGGACGUCGCUUGCGGUGAGCUGGCCGAGGCGUAGACGGUGUGUGCGCGUUUAUGCAGGCAUUCGAGAUGUGCGUUUUCUUUUCGUGCCUUCGGGGUGCGGAAUGGUGAACUGUGCAGGCGAUAAUUAGGCUACUGAGGUGGUCUAUCGGCAACCGCAUACAGGAGGCUCUCUUCAGGUGUACUCUACCUCUAUUCCCGUACCGCCACACUAG